rnacentral:lncRNA from 10 species
UUUAAACAAGUGCUUUGGUGUGUUUUUUCACUGUCGGAGUAGGUUGCAGGAAGCAUGGGUGACUGACCACGAAACAUCGUGCCUUGUCUUAGGACUAAGAUUCCACCAGAUGGCUGGGAAGAUGGUCUGCAGGUCCACAGGCUGUAGAAAGAGCAGGAUGGCCCUGGCAGAUAGUUGAGAGAACCUGGAAGCAACAACACUCCAGUGGCACACCUUGCACCCAGACCUUAAUUUCUAAUAAGAUUCUCCAACAAGAGAAACCAGUGCUUCUUGAAGAAAUGGCUGAUUCUAGAACUGAAAGCAUCGUAUACAAGAUGGGACUAGAGGAUCUUGAACUAUCGGAAACUAAGAAAGUGCUCAAGAAAAGAAAGAAAGCGGCCGGGCAUGGUGACUCACACCUGUAAUCCCACUUUGGGAGGCUGAGGUGGGCGGAUCACAAGGUCAGGAGAUCGAGACCAUCCUGGCUAACACGGUGAAACCCCGUCUCUACUAAAAAUACAAAAAAUUAGCCGGGCUUGAUGGUGGAUGCCUGUAGUCUCAGCUACUCAGGAGGCUGAGGCAGGAGAAUUGCUUGAACCCGGGAGGCAGAGGUUGCAGUGAGCCCAGAUCAUGCCAUUGGACUCCAGCCUGGGCAACAGAGUGAGACAUCAUCUCAAAAAAAAAAAAAAAAAAAGAAAAGUAAAGAAAGAAAACUCAAUGAUGGGAGGAUGUCCAAAGGACAUAGGAGCCAAGUGAACUGAAGGAGCUCCCAAUAGCCCAAAUGGGAACAAUUUGAGCAACAAAAAGAAAGUAGUGUUGUAUUACAAUCCAAAAUAUAAAAUAAAUAUCUUUAAGUCCAUACUAUUAUAGAGAAGUGAUUGAAUCAAUAAAUAAGUCAAUGAGAAUAGACAAAUUUCCUGUGCAGCAGAGUUCCAAAUAAUUUAUGCGGAUGGCCCCCAAAGAGCGAAGAAUAACUCUCCUCUCCUUAAGUAUGAGCUGCAUAUUGUGACUUUCUUCAAAAGAGUAAAGGAUAGAAAAGGGGAGAAAAGAAUAACCUUACACUGAAGAAACCUGACAAACACUACCUCAGCCAGGUGAUAAAGGGGAACGUCACAUGUUAACAAGGUGAACAUGAUGUCAAUAGUGUGUGCCUUUGGUACGAUGUGAUAAGAAUGGCAUUUUACUUUUUGGUCUUCCUCCCCAAAACCCAUAACCCCAAUCUCAUGGGAAAAAUAUCAGGCAAUCCCAAAUUGAGGGACAUUCUAUAAAAUACCUGACCAGUACUCCUCAUACAUAAUAAAAGACACAGAAACUCUGAGACUGUCAUGACCAAGAGAAGCUUAAAGAGAUGUAAUAACUAAAUGUAAUGUGGUGUACUGGAUGGAAUUCUGGAAAAGAAAAAGGAUAUCAGGUAAAACUAAGGAAAUCUGAAUAAGGCAUGAGCUUUGGCUAAUAAUAAUGCAUCAAUAUGCAUUCAUUAAUUCUAACAAAAUUGCUAUUCUAAUAUAAUAUGUUAAUAAGAGGGGAAAUUGGAUGUGGGGGAUAUGGGAACUUUCUGUACCCUCUUUACAACUUUUCUUUAUUUUAUUUUAUUUUAUUAUUUUUUUGGGGACAGAGUCUCACUCUGUUGCCCAGGCUGGAGUGCAAUGGCAUGAUCUCCGCUCACUGCAACCUCCGCCUCCUGGGUUCAAGCGAUUCUCCUGCCUCAGCUUCCCAAGUAGUUAGGAUUACAGGCACGUGCCACCAUACCUGGCUAACUUUUUUUCUUUGUAACUUUCCUUUAGGUAGAAGACCAUUCUAAAAUAAAGUUUAUUUAAAAAAUUUAAAAU